AGAGUUUGAUCAUGGCUCAGAACGAACGCUGGCGGCAUGCCUAACACAUGCAAGUCGAACGUGAUCUGUUCCUUCGGGGAUGGUGAAAGUGGCAGACGGGUGAGUAACGCGUGGGAACCUGCCCCAAGGUAGGGAAUAACCGCGGGAAACUGCGGCUAAUACCCUAUGUGCCCUACGGGGCAAAGAUUUAUCGCCUUGGGAGGGGCCCGCGUCGGAUUAGGUAGUUGGUAGGGUAACGGCCUACCAAGCCUACGAUCCGUAGCUGGUCUGAGAGGAUGAUCAGCCACACUGGGACUGAGAUACGGCCCAGACUCCUACGGGAGGCAGCAGUGGGGAAUAUUGGACAAUGGGGGCAACCCUGAUCCAGCAAUGCCGCGUGAGUGAUGAAGGCCUUCGGGUUGUAAAGCUCUUUCGGCGGGGAAGAUGAUGACGGUACCCGCAGAAGAAGCCCCGGCUAACUUCGUGCCAGCAGCCGCGGUAAUACGAAGGGGGCUAGCGUUGUUCGGAAUUACUGGGCGUAAAGGGCGCGUAGGCUGUGCUGUAAGUCAGGCGUGAAAUCCCCGGGCUCAACCUGGGAAUUGCGCAUGAUACUGCGGCGCUGGAAGGCGGGAGAGGAUGGCGGAAUUCCCAGUGUAGAGGUGAAAUUCGUAGAUAUUGGGAAGAACACCGGGCGAAGGCGGCCAUCUGGCCCGCAAUUGACGCUGAGGCGCGAAAGCGUGGGGAGCAAACAGGAUUAGAUACCCUAGUAGUCC
rnacentral:rRNA from 1 species